GUCAUUUUAUCGCCGGUGAACCGUCGCCCGUACCAGUCGUGACACCCUCGUCGGCAUUCCCGUCAACGCCGCCGCCGCCGGCGACGGUGGCGGCAGAGAUCGCGUAGCCUCCACCCGCGCUCGCGUCACCGUCGGACUUGCUGGCACUGCCACUGUCACUACCUGCGUUGCUCAGGCUAAAAAAGUAGCGGUUCGUGGUUGGCUGGUUUGCCGCCAUAGGAUAGCAGAGUAGCAGAUGCGGGUUGAGGGCUUGCGGCGCCGCUGGUUUAUGCGGGUUGGCCGCAUAGCGCCGCUAAAAUGAUGUGGAUCAUGAUGCAGGUUCUGGUAGACUUGCAGCGCCCGCUGUCCCAGCGGGCUCGCGGCUCAACCCGGCCACUUGCAUCCCUACCCGUGAUGUAUCGAUCACGAGUUGAUAUUUUCUCACUUCUAGAGGACUCGCUGAAGCGGGAGUCUGGCGCGAAGGUUCACAAAGCCAACAUCCAGGCGGCCAAGGCUGUUGCUGACAUCAUUCGCACUACAUUGGGUCCCAGAUCCAUGCUGAAAAUGCUUCUGGACGCUGGACGCUGGUGGCCUUUUAUUUAAUAAAUUUGUAAAUUAUAUCCAACCAGUUCAUCAGAUCGUGGCCUUUUAUUUAGAUCUAAGAACACCAACACACUUAGGCAUUUAGUUGGAUAUAAUUCCUAUGUUGUACCCAAGAAAGCAGCACUUACCGAUGAACUAUAUCUUAUCAGUCGUGUAAACAGAAUGAAAUAUAACAAAAUUGUUUUUAUUAUCUGCACAUUCCCAUUAUAUUUUGUAGCAUAUAACCACAAGGUCACAACCAGUUUGUAUGAAUUAAUUGGCGUAUGAAUCCGAGAUGAGUGUUUCGUAUGAUUUUUUUUACAGUCUAUGUACACAAGCAUUUCAUGAAGAAAUUAUUUACUUGACUCGAUAAGUUCCAAGUUCCUGCUUUUGACAUUUAUUUUCUUGGUCAUCAACAUGCGAAGCUUUACAUGUCUUCAUGUCAGUGGUCGUCAAAUUUUCUCCAGUACUGCCUUGAGUAGCUGCAGUGGUGACCACACAAGUGAACGAGAUGCAAAGAAGGCAGGUAAGCUACUGCAAAUUUAUACAAUAAUUUAUUGUCAAGAAACGAACGCUAGAUUACUGUGCCGGAUAGAUCUUAGCAGGUAAACAGUAGGAGAACUGAUGUAAAUGAGAAGACAAAGUUCUUCACGUGAGGUAAAAUGUUGUCCAGUUUUUUUUCUUAAAAUGAAAUAUCUAUGUCUUUGCUGAUUUAUUUGUCCAGUUUUUUGUUCUUCAGGUGAGAAGACAAAGUUCUUCAGAUAAACAGUAGGAGUAUAACCAGGGAGUGUGGAUUUUCUGAAUAUAAAUGGAAAAGAGGGGAUAUGGUACUUUAGAAUUUGGUUUUCGGUGAAACUAUAAAUUCCAUUGGCAUGCUUGAUUUAAUGUUCACUUAAAUUGUCUAGAUCCUUAUCCACUUGUCCUCAUGGAAGCCUCUCAACCCUCAAAUGUUUGUCUUUGCUGAUUUAUUUGUUUAGGCAACCCUCAUUUAGCUGCACCUUUUCCUAUUAAGGAAAAAAGAAGCUUUGCGUUCAAUUUCUCCUAGAAUCUUUCUGUGAUACCAGCUGAUUUUUUUAUUCUCUUAUUUGGAACGUUAUGACAACAAGAAGCCACUAGAAAGAAUAAAGGAACAGAAUGCAGUGACACCACCGCUCCAUCAUGUAGGUGUUAUUACAAAUGUUAGUACUAACCUUUUAUGUUUAUAUUUGAUCAAACCUAAAAUGGCUGACUCAUUAAAGAAUGAGAAAUGACAAACUUUUGUGUUAGAGGGAGUAGAUAAUGGUCAUCUGUGCAAGCUAAUCUGCAGUAGUAGUCACCAGCCGAUGAUCAUGUGUUUCUCUGAAUUCUGAAACCUAAUCCUGCUUCAAAAUGGCAUAUAUAAUUCCUGGUCCUCUCGAAAAGGCAAUACAACCUGAGCUUGUGAUCUUGUUUUAGGAGUAGAUAAUGGUAUAUAAUUCAAGAUGUUAAGUAUAUAUAAACAGGAAUCGUAUAUGAACCCAGUUUCUCUGCAUUCUGAAACCUAAUCCUGAGAUGAUGUGAUUGUGAUCCACUGACUGGAGGAUCCAUGCAAAUCUCAGUGUCACCUUCUCCAGCAGGCAACAACUGACUGUUUGUUGGUGUGCAGUGUUCUUCAAACUAUUCAGCAACUAAACUGUUCAAACAUGUUACUGAAGAUUGGCAGCUGAAACACAUGAUCACCGGCUGAACAUGGUAGGCGUGAAAAAUAAGAUCACCGACUGAACAGUUUAUGAUCACCAGCUGAAACACAAGAUCUGGGAGGCGUGGAACAUGGUAGCUGAACUCUUCAAACAUGUUAGACAAUAGCAGGCAACAACAGUGAAACACAAUCACCGACUGAAAAGUUGUCCGGCACCUGGACUGAGCAAAUUUGGUUGCCUGGUGGAGGGAGGUCUAACGGCAGACGCUGCUAUUCAAUUAUUUUUUUACUUUACUUUGUAUCCUCCUUACAGAUGUUGGAUGAAAGCAAACCUUCAUUUUUUUUGUUUAGCAGGCCUACUAAAACAAGCUUAGUGAACCUGGGUGAACAACAUGCACUGAUUCAAAAUUUUAUUUGCAUUCAUUGCAUUUAGCUUGCCUUGAUGACCCUGUCAUUCUAAUCACAGUCUUGGGCAUUUUAUUUGUGUCGGAAUCCAAACUUACAAAUUUUUAACACAAAUUUUUUGAAGGUGUAUGGUCUGGAUAUAAACCCAAGAGUUGUUCUGGUAGGGCGCCCGAACGGGCGCCUCCUGUUCUAGUGUGGUAUAAAGGGGAAUCUCGAUGCCCAACGCCGCAUCGCCGUCAAGCGCUUCAACCGCUCUGCCUGGCCCGACCCGCGCUAGUUCCUGGUAUUCCAUCCACCUUCUCUUUUACCUUUUCUAAUUAUGUGCAUCUUGUGGGUGUAAUUGAUAGUUGGGAACCUGGGUGUAAUUGAUAGUUUGCUUAUAAUGAAGAAGCAAGCGUAUGUUGUGUUGUUUUGUAUGCGAUAGGCCAGUGCAUGCAUGGUGGAAGCAUGACGACUGAAAAAAACAAUUUUUACCUUUCAUCCUAAGCAUCACAUCUUAACUAUAUGGCGUUAUGAAAAAAGCAUAUCAGAUUUCAUCUCAUGCUGUGUUUUGGCGGUAGCUUGAUUAUGGUAUACCGUUGAUGACUGGUUCUUUUUUCUUCUGAUAGCCAUAUUACAGUUGCCAUUGUGCUUUGUUGAUUUAUAGCUUCCAUAUAUGCAAGGAAGAAUAUGUUGAUCAAUGUCUUGCGUGCCAUUCCUACAUGUUUGUGCAAGGAGGAGUGUCCUGUCGUGCUCCCACAUGCACUUGUUGCAGCGUUCGUCAAGACCGAUAAAGAUUUCUAGGCUAUGGCUGACAUUUGUGAUAAUAGAUGAGUGGGUUGUGACUAGCAUCUGUCGGUGAUUCACAUUGCAUACGAGAAUCUACUUAGGAUCAAAGGUACUUUUUAUCAGCUGAUCAUCGCUUUGACUCCAACUCAAAUGAGCCAUGGAAAGGAAGCUCACUGGGUCAGAACUCUAUUCGAGAAAUUGAAAGCUCCAAUGAAGUAAUUCCUCGUCAGUCAUCUUCAAAGAGAUGCCAUGAUUCCCAGAAAGAGAACCUUGUUGAGGGCUCAGAAAAUAAGGCUGAUUCAGAUUCAGAAGGGUCACUUGCUACUAAUGAUGGCGUGGCAGAUAAACUGAAUUAUUCAGAAAAUAAGGCUAAUCAUUAGUCACUCUUAACAAUUCUUUUGCUUUUUAGAUUGUGUGCUUGGGUCGUGAUUCGAUGGAUGAUGAGACAGUGGACCAAACUGAAAAGGAUUCUCAAGGAGGUAAUAAAGGAGCCCAUUGUACAGUGGACCAAAAAAAUUAUAGAGGCAGAGCUGAACCGACUAAUAGAGGCAGAGCUGGACAAGUCGAAGUUGUGAUGGUCAAAAUUAUCGUUUGGUAGCUGGAACAUUUUAUUACAGAAUGCUCUAUUUAUAUCGAUCUCAGGUAAUUCUGAAUUCCUAAGCAGUUCUAUAAUUACAGUUGUUCUUAGACCAUUUUAUGUAGUUGAAUGGAAGCGAUAUCUGAAUCAAGAAUGUUCUAAGACCAUUUUCUGUAAUUGUAGCUACUCUAAGACCACUGCUAUUUUGUAGUAAAGUAAACAGGCAACACUAUAGUCUUGUGGCAGUUGCUGCCUGUUUGGGACUAGGAGUUGUCGGGUUAUGCAAGUCAUUGUAUUGUGGUUUGUCCAUACCAUGGGUUUCUCCAAGGAAUUUGUUUUCGGGGUUUGGGAGAGUAUACUAUGUAGGAGAUCUGCGAAAUUUUUGGCAACAAUUGCUUUCUUAAUGUCAUCCUCCAGGUAAAUAUUGACUUUGUAAUUCUACUGACAUCCAGCUAGAUGAAUGCUAAAUAAGACAGCCUUUUCUCGGCACACACUUGCCAGUUGUGAUGGUUUUAUUUCCUUUAUAGAAAAUUUGUUUGCAACCGAUGGCUUGCUACCUAAAGAAAAGCCUGUAAAAAUGCCUCUUCUUCUUGCUCUAAGCCCUCUCUUGGAAUGUAAUAUUUUUACUAUGGACUAUUGAACUUCUUAUCAUUUUCGAGAUCCCCACUAUGAACUUCUUAUGACAACUGUAGAUUCAUUGUCCAAUGCAAGUAUUGUCCUUUUACUACAGACAAUUUCUGGGACCUCUUGACACUUGAGGGCUAGAAGAUGUAAAUUCAUGAGAGCUUAGAUGUAAGUACUCCUUUGGAUAUUUUUUCUCUGAUUUCUGAAUAGGUUUUUGUAACAGUGAAAAUUUAUUGUUGCCUAUAGCGUGGAGUGUAUGUGUCCUGUUUGAGCUUCGCCAGCUUGUAGAAGGCACAUUUCUGUCCCUACAUUUUAUUUUUCACCAAUGGCGAAACUUGUGUAGUCGUUUGCCACUAUUUACUUGUUUGUUUUUUCAGCGAACAUGCAUUUUGGAGAGACCAACUUGAAUGUGCGGAGCAGUCGAUCACACGGUAUUUUCAUAAUGGUAUAGAAUUCUGAAUUCCUAAGCAAUUUUGUAAUUGCAGCUGUUCUAAGACCAUUUUUGUAGUUGAAUGGAAGCGAUAACUGAAUCAAGAAUGUUCUAUUUAUAUCGGUCUCACGUAAUUGUGAGCAGCAAUAGAGACUAAGUAGUUCUGUAAUUGCAUUUGUUCUAAGACCAUUUUCUGUAGUUGCAUGGAAGCGAUAACUGAAUCAAGAAUGCUCUAUUUAUAUCGAUCUCAGGUAAUUCUGAAUUCCUAAGCAGUUCUGUAAUUGCAGUUGUUCUUAGACCAUUUUAUGUAGUUGAAUGGAAGCGAUAUCUGAAUCAAGAAUGUUCUAAGACCAUUUUCUGUAAUUGCAGCUAUUCUAAGACCACUGCUAUUUUGUAAUAGAUGUCAGUGCUUAUUACUGGUCAAUCCUCCUCAGCUGCACUCAAAUCUGAAGUUCGUUCAGCUCUUUAGAAGAGAAACAAAGCUAAUUUCAGAAGUCGAAUACUACCUGACUAACCUCAUUUCAGCAGAGAUGUUUAUAAUAGAUGUUAGUGCUCACUCGCCCUCAAUGGAGGAAAGGGAGUUUCAGAAACAUAUGGAAUCGACAAGACUAGCUACUCAAGUAUCUAUUGCAAGCCCAAGUAGCUCACAGGGGCUUCCCACAUCUGCAAGGGCAAAUCAGGAGGAAACUGAUAUGGCAGGUACGGAUGAGGGAUAUCCGUGGUCAAGUUUGAUGCUUCAGGACCAAUAUCGUUGUGUGUCGUUGCUGGUGGUAUCUGAAUGGGGGUAAAGAUAUAGAGAGGGAUUUUUUUCUUCAAAUGAUGAUUUAUCGUUGCGUGUCGAUGCUGGUGUUAUUUGAAUGGGGGUAUGCGGUCGGUGCUCGUGCGACACAGACCCACGAUUCUCCUUGGACGCCGGCCGCAUGUCCGUCAGUGACAUGGGCUUCUCUUGGGAUGAGCCCUGUGCGUCGUGGGACGGCUGAAACGUGUAACAGAGAGUCUCAAGUUCUAUAGAUCUUCACUUCCCCUGCUUGUUCUACAUUUCACGAUCCUGACUGAUAUUUCUUUUUAUCAUAUUAGGGCCGAGAUGUAUAUAUACUGGUAAGCACUCAUCACUUCCAUUAUUGUGUUUUUCUUUAGAUGUUAGGGGAAAAAUGAAGAGGGCAAUUUCUAUUCAAAGAUAUGUGCAUUAUAUUGUAUAUGCAAUUGCUAUUGCUAUAAAUAUAAAUUUAACAAACUUCAUUAAUUCAGGCAAUACAACUUUGGAGAAUGCGAGUUGUGUUUCUGCCUCUGAGCCAGUGUAGCUAUAUCUGAUUUAAACCAUACUCUGUUACAGGGUUCCACAAAUGUUGGAAAAUCUGCAUAUAUGUUGUUCGUUUCCAUGUAAUUGUUGUGCACUAACAUUUAUCGAAUAGUUUGUACACCGUUGUAACGCACGUGCACUCACCUAGUUGUAGUAUAUAUGACAAAUAAUUUGCAGUCUUCAACAUCGGAAAAUCCGGGUCAAAAGGCAUGGGUUGUACACACAUUUAUUAAAGUCACCUAGAAACUUACCACGACAUGCACUAAUUACAUGCUCCAGUAGUUUGGCAUCAUUUUAGGUAAAUGUGCCACAAACAAAGACUCCGGCUUGUGUUUCGAAAUACAUAAGCAAUAGUUUCUGCCA